UCUACGGGGGGCAGCAGUCGCGAAACCUUUGCAAUACACGAAAGUGUGACAGGGCUAUCCCGAGUGCCAUCCGCUGAGGAAGGCUUUUACCCAGUUAAGAAGGCUGGGGGAAUAAGGAGAGGGCAAGUCUGGUGUCAGCCGCCGCGGUAAUACCAGCUCUUCGAGUGGUGUGGAUGUUUAUUGGGCCUAAAGCUCCUGGAGGGAGAAAAAACAAGUCCCUUGUUAAAUCCACCGAAUUAAUCGUUGGAUCGCGGGGGAUACUGCUUGGCUAGGUUGCACUUGAGAGGCAGACGGUAUUCCGGGGUAGGGGUGAAAUCUCUUAUCCCGGGAAGACCACCAGUGGCGAAGUCUGUCUGCUAGAACGCGCCCGACGUUGAUGAAUUAAUGUUCAGGGC
rnacentral:rRNA from 1 species